CCUCAUUCUCUAGACUCAGCAAGGCCUGAAGGGAUUGUCUCAGGCUCCUCCACUCCAGCCUUCUAAGGGCCCAAAGUGGUUCAGAGGGGACGCUCUCAGCGUUCCUUCUCUUCCAACAGCUGUGACAACCUCUGACUCAUGCCUGGGACAAUUUCUCUCAGUUCUGGUGUACCUCCAGUCCUCUGUGUGAGCACUUGAUGAAGAACCCUGAGAAAGAGUGGACAGCUAAAGGAAAGACCUGGGUGUGAUUAAGUAUGAUACAGUGACAUAUUUGAGAUGAUGACGGUGUUACAAGAACUGAAAAAGCAAAACUCUGAGAACAAGUAAGAUGCAGGGACAGCAGCCUCGACCGAAGAAACUGGAUGAGGAAAGGUAUGAAAGUAUGGGAACAUAUUCAGUGCUGUGUUCAGCAUGGCUAAACCGGGAGUUAGCACAUUUUCUGUAAAGAGCCAGAAGGUUAAGUAUUUUAAACUUUGUGGGCCAUGGGUCUUUGCUGAAACCACUCAGCUGAACUGUCGUAGUGCAAAAGCAGCCAACACAUAAAACAAACCUGGCUGCGUUUCAAUGAAACUUUAUUCAUAGGCACUGAUAUCUGAAUUUCAUAAUUUUCAUGUCACAAAAUAUUCUUUGUUGACGUCCCACCCCCCAAUGAUUUAGAACUGUAGAAGCCAUUCUUAGUUUGUAGGAUAAACUAACACAGACAGCAGUUACUUAGUCUUGUAUUAAACCACAGGGUGUACUGAAAGAUACACCAUAAAAAGCUGGAUGGCAUAAAACUUAAAAUAGUUGUGGCAAUUCAUACAUUGAUAUUACUACAUAGGUGUAAAAUCAUAUAUAUUGUAGAAUGUAGUUAACUGCAUAGGAAUAUGCUCAUGAUGUAUAAAAGAAAAAUAAGCAGCUUACAAAAUAUGUAUUACAUAAUUCCCAAGGUUCAAAAUAUGUACAGGCUAAACUGAUGACAUUUGAUGACCUGGGUGUUGGGAUUUAUGAAUAUAUUUUCUUCAUUUUGCUUACCUGUAUCUUCUAGAAGGAACAUGUAUUAACUUUGCCUUCCUCUUUGUUAUUAGCUAUUAAUGAAUUUUAAUGAAGAAGCAACAUGAUCAGCGCAUAUCUUAAAAUAAUUCUGACACUACCCUACAAUAAGUGAUGUAUUAUGGGGGAUAAUGACUAGAUACCGGGAGACAAUUUAAGAGGCUCGGUUAUAGUCAGAAAAAGACACAAGGUACUCAAGACAGCAACUGUGGGAACAGAAAAGUAAUGUAGGCCAAAUAACAUAAAGAAGGAUGAGGAUGAGGACAAAAUGACUUCAAGAUUUCCAUCUUGUGUGACUGUGACAAUGACAGUGUCGGGGAAAAGGGGUGGAGAAAGAGAUUUGGAGGCAGAUGAUAAUGAUUUUUUAACGUAGUGAGGUGAACUGUUAAUGUGGUAUUCAGGUCUGGUUCUGGAUGUCAUGAGAAAGGUCAGGACUUGAUAAUGUAUAUUCAGGACUGAGAAAUAAUCUAAGAGAAAAAAGGAAGGUGUAAGAAUGCCAUGUUACAAAAUCCAGGGUAUGAAGUUUCCAAGAGGGGCUUGUCAACUAAAAUGCUAGAAAGGUCACAUGAAGAGAACUUUGGAUUUGGUCACUGGUGGUUACUGGAGACCGAGGGUAUAUCAAAAGCUUGUUUGUUCCUUUUCCCUUCCUGUGAAAUAUCUGAACAGGUAGCAAAUAAUGGCUUGCUGUUUGUUUUGUUUUUUUUAUUUAUCUUGAAUUAAUGACUCCAUCUGUUUCUCAUAUUUGGAAAACCCAGAAUGUACACAGUGUUCUGGAACAAAUGUAUUCUGUCCAAGUGGAAGCCGGUUAAGUUCCGAUAUCCUCAGCUCGACAGAACAUAUUUGUGCACUGCUCUUCCUGUUCUUAAACUGGAGAGGAAGUCAGGAAGACCCAGUGGUUACAUAAUGUCACCUGUCUCACAUCACUUAUGUGGGUGGGUAAGGGGCAGCUGCUCAGAUUUCAUUUGGUAUCCAAAAAAGGUGCAAACGGGAAAAAAGGUCUGGGUUGUUCACUAAGCACAGAUAGGCCAGUGGUUGAAUUUUCAUUCCGGCCCAUUGACCUUGUGGGUAGUGUAACUCACUGAGUCAUUCUUUUUAAUCUCUACUCUACAUUCACAUGUGUUCUAUGAGAAUGCUAGCGAGAAGUACAUUGUGGCCCUUAGCUAGAAUUCUUUAGCCAAAAGUCCUGGGGCUCUCUUCUCUGUAAUAGAAGAUUGCUAAACCCAGAAAAGUCUUUGAGUCUAAAACAAGUGGUCUUCUAAAAAGGCCUAAAGAAAUCUAGGCCUUUAUUGAGAGUAGGAAAACAUCUCUGGGAAUGGAAGCUUUUUAGAUCUGUCAUUUCAUGGGGCAACAGCAGUCCAGUCUCCUAGUGCUCAGGCCAAUUUUCUACACAGCCUCCACAGAGAGGCCUAUGUAAAGUGUUAACCACAUUUAACAAUGAGGAAUGACCAGAACAUGGAUAGUCAAUCUGGGGGGAGAAGAACAAUAAAACUAGAAUGCAGGGGCUAAGGGACAGAUGAAGAGCCAGUUCAGAACUCUUUUGGAACACAGGAGCUUCCCAUUCCUUCCCUACGUUCAGUGGGUUGCUGAACGGUAUGGAGCUUCUGCCAGAGUAAGAAGGCUGUAUUACCACAAUGGAAUUAAGUCUCCAGAGCUGCUUUUGAUGUGUUAGCCUAGACCCUGUGUUCUCUGGUCUUGAGGGGGUGGGAUGUGCAGUGUGGAAUCAAAAAACUGGAUUGUGAAUUUUCUGCAAAAAAUUACUGUCAAUUUUACAUACAUAUAAAAUUAUAUUUUUAUGUAAAAUUAUAUAUAUAUAAAAUUGACAGUAAUUUUAUAUAUAUAUAAAUAAAGUACCUACUAUCUGUUUCUGAAUUUAGCAAAUGUUGAUUUUAAAAAAGUUUUCAGUAAGUUAACUGUUUGGAAGACUUGUAUUUUUUAUUACCCUUGAAUAUUAAGGCUUACAUUAUUUGUU
rnacentral:lncRNA from 1 species